GGCCUAUCAGGCUGUUGGUGGUGUGACGGACCACCAAACCUACGACGGGUACGGGCGAUGGGAGUCGGAGCCUGGAGAUGGGGACUGAGACAAGGCCCCAGGCCCUACGGGGCGCAGCAGGCGCGAAAACUCCGCAAUGCGCGCAAGCGUGACGGGGGAACCCCAAGUGCCGUUGGUCUUUUGAUCGACGGCUUUUCGGAAGUCCAAUAAGCUUCCGGAAUAAGGGCUGGGCAAGACUGGUGCCAGCCGCCGCGGUAACACCAGCAGCCCAAGUGGUGGCCGCGAUUAUUGGGCCUAAAGCGCUCGUAGCCGGAUCAGCAAGUCCUUUGUGAAAUCGGGCCGCCCAACGGUUCGGCGUGCAAAGGAUACUGUUGGUCUUGAGACCGGGAGAGGUCGGAGGUACUCUUGGGGUAGCGGUGAAAUGCUGUAAUCCUGGGGGGACCACCAGUGGCGAAGGCGUCCGACCAGAACGGAUCUGACGGUGAGGGGCGAAGGCUAGGGGAGCGAACGGGAUUAGAUACCCCGGUAGUCCUAGCUGUAAAGCAUGCGGGCCAGGUGUCUAGCGCUCCUUGAGGGCGCUAUGUGCCGGAGGGAAGCCGUUAAGCCCGCCGCCUGGGAAGUACGGCCGCAAGGCUGAAAC
rnacentral:rRNA from 1 species